rnacentral:rRNA from 1 species
GGGAGCGGCGGACGGCUGAGUAAUGCGUAGGUAUCUACCCCUAGGUGGAGAAUAGCUCCGAGAAAUCGGAGAUAAUACUCCAUAGUUCCCGCCUCUGGCGGGAUAAAGGUCGUAACUGAUCGCCAAGGGAGGAGCCUUCGUCCUAUCAGGUAGUUGGUAGGGUAACGGCCUACCAAGCCUAUGACGGGUAGCUGGUCUAAGAGGAUGACCAGCCAGAGGGGCACUGAGACACGGGCCCCACUCCUACGGGAGGCAGCAAUCAGGAAUAGUCGGCAAAGGACGAAAGUCUGACCGCGCGACGUCGCGUGUAGGAAGAAGCUCUUCGGAGUGUAAACUACUGUGAUAAGGGAUGAAGAUCCGCCUUUGGCGGGUUUGACAGUACCUUAUUAGAAAGGGGCCGCUAAUUGCGUGCCAGAAGCGUCGGUAAUACGUGAGCCCCAAACGUUAUCC